rnacentral:rRNA from 1 species
UGGGGAAUUUUGGACAAUGGGCGAAAGCCUGAUCCAGCAAUGCCGCGUGUGUGAAGAAGGCCUUCGGGUUGUAAAGCACUUUUGUCCGGAAAGAAAUCCUUGGCUCUAAUACAGUCGGGGGAUGACGGUACCGGAAGAAUAAGCACCGGCUAACUACGUGCCAGCAGCCGCGGUAAUACGUAGGGUGCAAGCGUUAAUCGGAAUUACUGGGCGUAAAGCGUGCGCAGGCGGUUUGCUAAGACCGAUGUGAAAUCCCCGGGCUCAACCUGGGAACUGCAUUGGUGACUGGCAGGCUAGAGUAUGGCAGAGGGGGGUAGAAUUCCACGUGUAGCAGUGAAAUGCGUAGAGAUGUGGAGGAAUACCAAUGGCGAAGGCAGCCCCCUGGGCCAAUACUGACGCUCAUGCACGAAAGCGUGGGGAGCAAACAGGAUUAGAUACCCUGGUAGUCCACGCCCUAAACGAUGUCAACUAGUUGUUGGGGAUUCAUUUCCUUAGUAACGUAGCUAACGCGUGAAGUUGACCGCCUGGGGAGUACGGUCGCAAGAUUAAAACUC